rnacentral:rRNA from 1 species
CGAGUGAAGCGGCAACAGCUCAAAUUUGAAAUCGGCCCACCGGUCGAGUUGUAAUUUGCAGAGGAUGCUUCUGGGCAGCGGCCGGUCUAAGUUCCUUGGAACAGGACGUCAUAGAGGGUGAGAAUCCCGUAUGUGACCGGCGCGCACCCUCCACGUAGCUCCUUCGACGAGUCGAGUUGUUUGGGAAUGCAGCUCUAAAUGGGAGGUAAAUUUCUUCUAAAGCUAAAUAUUGGCCAGAGACCGAUAGCGCACAAGUAGAGUGAUCGAAAGAUGAAAAGCACUUUGGAAAGAGAGUUAAAAAGCACGUGAAAUUGUUGAAAGGGAAGCGCUUGCCACCAGACUUGACGGCGGGGUUCCGCCGGUCUUUUGACCGGUCCACUCCCCGCCGGCAGGCCAACAUCGUCUGGGGCCGCCGGAUAAGACGUUAGGAAUGUAGCUCCUCGGAGUGUUAUAGCCUCUCGUGAUACGGCGCGCCCCGGGCGAGGUCCGCGCUUCGGCAAGGAUGUUGGCGUAAUGGUUGUCAGCGGCCCGUCUUGAAACACGGACCAAGGAGUCUAACAUCUAUGCGAGUGUUCGGGUGUCAAACCCCUACGCGUAAUGAAAGUGAACGGAGGUGGGAGCUUCGGCGCACCAUCGACCGAUCCUGAUGUCCUCGGAUGGAUUUGAGUAAGAGCAUAGCUGUUGGGACCCGAAAGAUGGUGAACUAUGCCUGAAUAGGGUGAAGCCAGAGGAAACUCUGGUGGAGGCUCGCAGCGGUUCUGACGUGCAAAUCGAUCGUCGAAUUUGGGUAUAGGGGCGAAAGACUAAUCGAACCAUCGAGAAAUCGAACAUAGCCUACUAGGUGGUUAAGAGGGGUGUCUAACACCGCCCUCUAGUCGCCUCCGGGCGGCGACACUAUCAAAUUGCAGGGAGUCCCUAACCGCCUUAGCUACCGCGGCCUGCCGAAAGGUGAGGUGCAGCACCGGGAGUCUCACGACCCGGGGAGGGUGACAACGCUAUAAGGAUGUUACAAUGGGUAAUCUGCAGCCAAGCCCGGGCCCCUGGCCAUGGGUGCAGUUCAACGACUAGAUGAUAGUGGGUCCCUCUGUGCGAGGGACUUGAGACAUAGUCUUGCUUG